rfam:Halothermothrix orenii H 168, complete genome.
CAGAAUAGCCGUUCUUAACCGUAGACAGCAGGGGUCAAAAAGACUUAAUAAUCCUGCCGAGGUUAAUGGUUUGUUUGAUGGGGUUUUUCAUAACCAUGCCCCGGAUAGCCAGUCAUUACUACCUCCUGUCUAUAGGGAGGUUUUUUUAAUGCAGUU